GAAUUUUGGACAAUGGGCGCAAGCCUGAUCCAGCAAUGCCGCGUGCAGGAAGAAGGCCUUCGGGUUGUAAACUGCUUUUGUACGGAACGAAACGGUCCGGGUUAAUACCCUAGGCUAAUGACGGUACCGUAAGAAUAAGCCCCGGCUAACUACGUGCCAGCCGCCGCGGUAAUACGUAGGGUGCAAGCGUUAAUCGGAAUUACUGGGCGUAAAGCGUGCGCAGGCGGUUUUGUAAGACAGGCGUGAAAUCCCCGGGCUCAACCUGGGAAUUGCGCUUGUGACUGCAAGGCUGGAGUGCGGCAGAGGGGGAUGGAAUUCCACGUGUAGCAGUGAAAUGCGUAGAGAUGUGGAGGAACACCGAUGGCGAAGGCAGCCCCCUGGGCCGAUACUGACGCUCAUGCACGAAAGCGUGGGGAGCAAACAGG
rnacentral:rRNA from 1 species